GAAGCAUUAUAACCCAUGUUGUCAAAGAUGUGGCCAUUUUUAGGCAUCUUUCUUUUCUCACUGUUGUGCUUCUCCUGGGAGAACAAAGUCAUUACAUAGUUCACUGCAUAGUUUUUCUGUCCAAGCAAAGGAAGAUUAUUAAGGACUUAUCUGACCAGGGACUCUCUCAUUUGGGCCAUCUGUCUUUUUGUGCUUUCUUGAGGGAAUGCAACGAGAGAACUUUUUUCCCUUUUUUUUCCUCUCAUUUAGUGUCUUAUGAGAUUGUAUGUGAAGCCAUAUUUUAAGAAUCUGAACAAGCAGAAACACUGCCACUUUGAACACUUUUUAUUUUCCUUUGUGCUUGCCAUUUCUAUUGGAGAAAUCACACAUUUUUUUCUCUAAUAAUAUUAAGAGAAAGGCUAUUUUAAGAUUGCUGGUCUCAAGGCCAAUUUUGCUCUCUCAUUUUUGUUCUUACUUCAAGCAUGUGCUAUUACAUUUGAUUUAUACAGAAACCUAACCUGCCAGGUGGAUACUCAGAGAAAAUUAAAUGGUAUUUACCCACCCCCAAACAGUCAAUUGCAUCUCUGCAGAGGUGAAAUAUUUUGCCUCCUUGAUAAUCAACAGGAAGAAAAAAGGGAGUAGAGCUGGGAAGGGAGGUCCUAACCAACUGAAGAAAAAUCUUACGUUUUCCAUAGUAUAUCUAAGAUUGUUUAAAGUUUCCUCUACUGAUUAUAGCUUACAGAGGUAAAAGGACAAACAUUUGUAAACUAUUAUUUAAAUAAAAAAUAAAAAAAGAUUGGCUAAAUAUUUUUGUAUAGUAUCAAUGUUUAUUAUAGGUAAUAAAACAAUACUUAAUAAUUUAUUUACAUAUGGAAAUUAACACUGAUAUUGGAGAAACAAGUGUCAGGCUAUAAAACUAAUUUAAUGCUAUUUAUUCAAUUUAAAAUCUCUGUACACCACUGCACCAUUGAAUCCCAGCACAAUGACAAUGAAUGCUCAUUAUGAUGAUGCUGAAACUUAAUUAUUUUUAAAACUGCUUGGAACAGGAUUCAUUGUCUCACCUACUCAUUCAGUAAAAAGUGCUAGCCAUCUACUAUGAGCCAAGUCCUAUUCUAGUCCCUGUGGAGGUAGAAGAGCAAAAGACAGGUUUCUGCAAUCGUAAUGUUUUUACUUUUCACGAGAACAUACCAUUUUGUAAUAUCACAAGAAGAUUACUCUCACUGGUGUAGUCAACAGAUAUUUAUUGAGCUACACAUGAAACUCUAAACAAUUAAGAUGCAAUGGGAUGGUAGAACAGAAAUCUAGUUUCUAAAAAAUAUUAAAAAAUACAAAUAAAUGGACAUUUGGAAUUCAAAGCUGCUACUCCCCUUAAUAAUUUAGCAUAUAAUUAUUGAGUAACCACAAUGUGCUAGUCCUGUGGUAGGUUUUUGGACUAUUGUACAAACAAGACAGAUAUGAUUUCUGUCUCAGGGAGAUAGAUUAUAGGACCAUAGCAUGACAGAAAUAAAUUCAAGUUUCUAUGGGAACUCAAUGGAACCUUCUUUGGGAGUUAACGAAGUCUCCUUAGUAAAAAUGACAUCAUAGUUAUGAGUUAAAAAUGAGAGACAUCAGUCAGGCUAAAAGAGGAAUUGAGACUAUUGGGCGUGUUUCAAGGUGAUGCCUUAGCACAGCAAAACCCUGUAGGAAAGAAAGAGCAUGGAUGCAUUUCUGAGCCUACAGAGAAACAUUUGGCAUAGUUGGGCCUUAGAUUAUAAAAUGUGGUCUGAAGUAAUAGGAGUAGAAAGAUAAGCAGAGGUCUUGAAGUUUGUAAAAGUUCUUAUAAGCCUAUGUUAUGCUGUUGGAGCUUUUUAUUGAGACUAUGAGAAAAACACAAGUAUACUAAUCAGAUCAUGAAAUGACAUAGUAAUAUGUCAUUGGGUGACUUGAGUGACAACCAAUUCACACCAGGCUUUUUCUUUAAUAACUACCAAAUACAUUGAGUUGGGUCAUUAGUGGCUACUUCUAAGCUCCAUUAAUACUGCUCAUUUGACCACAGUUCAUGUAUUCACCUGACCCCAGCUAGAUCUCUUGAAUCUAGCAAUAGAGUGGACAUUAGUCAUGUUAUUGGCAUCAAAAUAG
rnacentral:lncRNA from 1 species